UACGUAGGGGCCGAGCGUUGUCCGGAGUUACUGGGCGUAAAGCGCGCGCAGGCGGCUCGUCAAGCCUGACGUGAAAGCCCCCGGCUCAACCGGGGAGGGUCGUCGGGGACUGGCGGGCUUGAGGUCGGCAGGGGUUGGUGGAAUUCCCGGUGUAGUGGUGAAAUACGUAGAGAUCGGGAGGAACACCAGUGGCGAAGGCGGCUACCUGGACCAGCACUGACACUGAGGCACGAAAGCGUGGGGAGCAAACAGG
rnacentral:rRNA from 1 species